GGCGCUCCAAACUAAAUCACGGCGUUAUACCAGAAGAUUGGAUCUCAUCUCGUUGCUGGUUCCUCCGUGCUCAUGACGGUGUCAAGGAUGCGAACCACACCGGAGUCAACGGCACGGCCAGGGGCACGACGAAUGACUCAGGAUCCAAACAACUAGCUGGACUGGACACUAGAUGACAGACAUAGUUUAGUCUUGGCACUAAAUUAGGAUGCUAAAUUAUAUAUAAGUUUUAUUUGAUAGAUAUUUUCUAUGACAAUUAUGAUUUUUAUGAAUCAAUAUGUAUAUUAUACACAUGGUUUUGAAUUU